rnacentral:lncRNA from 1 species
UGUUAUGAAGGAUCUAUGGAAGCCCAGUCAUAAGAAGAAACGUGGCUUAAUUCACCCCCAGUAUGACGAUAGAACUACUGGGUUUCACAGGGACCUGCAGGGCUUCAUGUCACAUAAACUUACAAAUCGUAAAAUUGGAGGCACCCUCAGCCUGCCGAUGUUUUCUGCAUGGGGAUGAUUUGUGGGACCAAAGUCAAUUAAAGUUCGGCUUGAAGUGAGUAACAGACCCUCAGAAUUAUUACACAAUUGCCCUACCAUAUGUUUCUGUCGUUUGGGUCUCCUCAAGUCCUUUUGCAUUUCUUCUUCGGCCGUCUUCCUCCUACCCCCCGCUAAGCUUUCUUUCUCAUCAUCAUCCCCAAGCAGUGGAAGACAGAGCCAUAAACAGCAAGGAAUAUGAAACGUGAGGCUCACAUGAAUGUGGGGAGAGAGUGGUUUAUGCGUGUAAUGGUGCCUACACACAUUUAAUUCCUAAAUCCAAACUCAUAGGCUUAGGGUGAAAUUAGCAAUUUUAAAAAUGUUGGUCCUAAGUGAAAAGUGAGCCUGCUUUGUAACAGUUGGUAAAGAUAUUGAUAACUUAUAUAAAGGCACUGUGGUUUGGUCUCUGCCUAGAGGUGGGUGGUGUAUGGCAUCAGGAACAUUACAAAUAAUUCUCUUUAGACACAGAUUUCAUAAUUUCCUUGUAACCUACUGGUAAGACUUCCACGGAGAAUUCUUUCAUCUCUACCUCACAUCCCAGAGGCUCUGGCCGUGCUAGGUAAGGACCCAACCACUGAGCAUAGCCCCCGGCCCAAGAAUUAUCAUUCUGAGUUGCUCAAUAGAGUUCACAUCCUGCUGUUGUUUUAGAAAAUAAAACAAAUCCAACAUAAAGCA